GUGGGGAAUCUUGCGCAAUGGGCGAAAGCCUGACGCAGCCAUGCCGCGUGAAUGAUGAAGGUCUUAGGAUUGUAAAAUUCUUUCACCGGGGACGAUAAUGACGGUACCCGGAGAAGAAGCUCCGGCUAACUUCGUGCCAGCAGCCGCGGUAAUACGAAGGGGGCUAGCGUUGCUCGGAAUUACUGGGCGUAAAGGGCGCGUAGGCGGACAGCUUAGUCAGAGGUGAAAGCCCAGGGCUCAACCUUGGAAUUGCCUUUGAUACUGGCUGUCUUGAGUUUGGGAGAGGUGAGUGGAACUCCGAGUGUAGAGGUGAAAUUCGUAGAUAUUGGAAGGAACACCAGUGGCGUAAGCGGCUAUCUGGACGAGUAUUGACGCUGAGGCACGAAAGCGUGGGGAUCAAACAGGAUUAGAAACCCUAGUAGUCC
rnacentral:rRNA from 1 species